AUGGUUGAGUUCCAACCACUGUGUGUUAAGAAUCCUCCAAUUGAUGGGUGGCUAAGGACUUGCUCUUGUGGGCACCAGCUUGCUACCAAACCUCUUCCCUUAGUUUCAGCUACAAACUCAGGUGGCAAAAUGGCCGAUUCACCAACUAACAGAUCAGGUCUAACUACCCAGAAGAAGGGAAGCUUGCUAUUUGCAAGUCCCCAACAAAACUCAAUAA
rnacentral:lncRNA from 1 species